AUGGAUGCCAUGGUCACCGAUGGAGGGAGCCUCGCGGCGUCGUCAAUUCCUCGGCAGAAGCAUGGAACAACUCCUCUCUGCCAUGUCAAGAGUGGAGGUCUGCUCACACGCAGUCCGAACGGCCACCUCCCGUGGCUUCUCCAUCCGGUGCAGCACAACUGGUGCAUGGUUGGGAGGUGGAGAUCCAACCUGAGAGCGUGCAGCAUGCUCAUGCCAUGGCCGUUGCUCCUGGAGUGGCUUUUGGCGUUGGGACACGGGAGGUUGAAGCGGUGGACAACUGCAGUUGUUGUGGCCGUCGCCCUCACAUCUCCUGCGGAGAGGCGCAGUCAUGGUGGUCUUCUGCUCGGGCUCGGGCGCAAGUUCAGGUGGCGCUAUGAAUCUGGCCAACAUGCUGCUGGGCAGUUGUCGGCCAAACGGUGGUCACCUGAGAGGAUUAAAAUUCUAUGA
rnacentral:rRNA from 1 species